rnacentral:rRNA from 1 species
UACGUAGGGUGCAAGCGUUGUCCGGAAUUAUUGGGCGUAAAGGGCGCGUAGGCGGCCUUCUAAGUCAGACGUGAAAUCCCCCCGGCUUAACCUGGGAACUGCGUCUGAUACUGGGAGGCUUGAGUAUGGGAGAGGGAUGUAGAAUUCCAGGUGUAGCGGUGAAAUGCGUAGAUAUCUGGAGGAAUACCGGUGGCGAAGCGGCAUCCUGGACCAUUACUGACGCUGAGGCGCGAAAAGCUAGGGGGAGCAAACGGG